AUGAAGUGUGAGCAUGAGUCCCUGCAGUAUCAAGUACCCAAGGAGCCACUCAUUGAAAUAAUUGAUGACGAUCAUGUUGUGGAUCUUGAAGGCAUAGUUGGGAACAUUUACCAGACACCUAAAAAAGUUACCCACAACCAAGUAGUAGUGGGAUCAGGCAGUAAUAUUUAUAGCAGCAGCAGCUCAGGAAAGAUGGUCCCACAACAAUUUGAGAGAAGGAUUAUCAAGCCACCUCCUUGCAAGAGGUCACCAUUCUUGGACUAUAAUGAGAGGAAAGUGUACAUAUGCAAACCUGAAGUAAGCAGGCUGUAUGCAUCGGUUAUUCUGCACGGGAGAUUGAAUGAAGAAGAAUCACCAGAUGUAGAUACUAGCCCGAAGGUAAUUGACUACAAUGGAUAUGAUGUGUCGGUGAGGGAGCUUGCAAACUCUAUGAAAAAAGAAGGAUAUAUCUUGACACAUGUAAUGGAAAUUGGCCUGCAGACUCCAAGAAGGUUGUCAUGCCCCUGA
rnacentral:rRNA from 1 species